AAAGACCUUGCCAUAGGCUUGCUUAGAUUAUCUACUUAAAGGUCAAAGUUUUGCUAUGCAUGCUAACUAAGGAAACAAACAAAAAUCAUCUCUAAAUCUAAAGAUGUUGUUUCCAUCUCUAAGUCUUCAAAAGCUUACAUUGGAUUUGUUCUUGGAGAAUAAAACUGAAGUAUUUUUCUAUAUUUACUAAAUCUUGUAGAAGCGUUUCAAAUGAAAAAGGUUUCCAAACUGUGAAGAUCAUGGCACAGUGUUGAAAACCAAAAUCCUGAUUAAGGUUAUACAGAAAAUAAUAUUAAAUUCAAUUAUUUCAGCUCCAUGGACAUCAUAAGUAAAAAAAAAGGGUCAAUAGAAUUCUUGAAGAAAUGAAAAAGACAAUUAUGUAUGAUAGUCAUCUACUUAAAUAAUUUUUAAAAGACUAUCAUCACUGCUUGUCAUACAUAUGAUUUCUAUUAUAUCUAUUUUUGAUGAAAACUCCUUUUGAUCUUCUGAAAAAUAGAAAAUAAA
rnacentral:lncRNA from 1 species